rnacentral:tRNA from 1 species
GCUUAAGUAGUAAAGUUUUAAUACGUCGGACUUAAAAUCCGGAGGCGGGGUGCGGCCCCCUUCAGCA